UAUGACUUAUUGAGCUGUCAGAGCAGCUCGGUCUUCCUCCAACUCACACACCGCCCAGUAAGCUCAAUAAUGAAACAGUGUUUGUGACAGUCCUCCUGAGGCGUGUCGAACUGGUUUGCUCUGCUAAAGGAACGGCUUCUUCAGAAACAGGAUUUCACUGCCACACUGGCACUAUGCAGCCACCUGUAGUUGGAGAUGAGGCACCUGGCAUCCGACUGCUCCCUGCUGUCCUAUUGGCUGAUGGUGAGACUCCUGCCCAAUAGAAGUGGCCUCCCCCUGUCUCGCCCCCAGCUCUGGAGCCGUGCUGCGCAACAGGGGCAGCAGGAGCUGCUUUUUACCCCAGGAGGGGCUCACUCCUGCUGGUCCGCUGGCUCGCUCGGCUCCUGUCCUGCUGACCGGGUGAAAAGGAGCCACUCGCCAGGGACCUGCCCGCCUCAGAUUCCUGCACACAUUGAAUGCCUCUCACACCUGGAGAUGUGAAUUUGUACUCUGUCUGAACUCUAUUAUUUGUGCGAUAUGAGAAGUAGUUGGCAUUUUUGAUACAGAGACAAUCUGAGGUUUUCAUGCACACUGUUGUGUGAUGUUUAAUAAUGCAGGCACUGCAGCACUUCAGAUAACUUGAAUCAGGCUGUUGAGGCCUUGCUAUUACAUACGUCCUCUAUGGUGGGUGGCCAGGCUGACCACAGAGCACAGGUUUGGAGAUGGACACUGUGUAUUUUCUGCUCAGCGAACCAUCAAGGUGGAGGUGGCUAACACAUUUGAGCGCACACACACACUCCAUGAAUAAGUGCUUCCAUGUUUCGCCAGGCAUUAUCAAACAAGUAAUCAUUUCAGAGGGGUGGAAGGUGUGUGUGGGAAGAGAGUAACUGAGGGAGAGAAAUGUGUUAUAAUUACAACCAGUGAAGCAUAGUCUUCAUAUAAAAUGCAUUAGUUUGACUUGACACAUUAAUUAUCUGUUUUUGCAGAUGUUUUGCAGCAUUGUUGUGCAAACAAUUUUAGGGGGAGGAAUUAUGGGAAAGUGAGCUGAAAAUAAAAUAAGUGGGAGGUUUCUUGCAGAUUUACCUUCAUUCAUGCAGAGAGAGCGAAUCGAUGCAGCUGGAGAAAAUGGAGCCGAAGCGAAAGGAUCAUCCCAACAAGGUGGUGACCAUAGUCCUGCAUUAUAUGGCUGACAGACAAGAACGGUUUGACCUAAAACUAUCAAAAUUGAAACUACUGCGGAAACAAAGACACCUACAUCUUGGAUGCCCUUGAGGGCCCCCGGGUGCCACAGGGCUUAGGGGGCCCCCUGAGGAAGACGGAGGGGUCCCCAGUGUGGAGCUGAAGGUCUUCAGGGUCCUGACAGUGCUGAUGGAGUUGAUUCUUGAGUGGCCUCUCGCGGCGUUCAGUGGUGGCCGCAGUGAGCCGCGGCUUUUGAAGUGAUAGAUCUUAAGGAUAUGAAACAAAAGUAGGGAUGGAUUGAACUUCAUCUGCCUACAGGGGAGGGAAGGCAGUGAAGUCAGAUGGGAGAUGUGUAGGGUGCGGAGGGGCGGAGGUGCUGGGUCACCGGUGAGCUAGAAGAAAAGAGCCUUUAAUCCGAGCAUGUCUUGUAAGGUCAGGAAAAGUUCGCAGGAUGAAAAAAGGUCAAGCCAAAGGUUGUGCUGAUUUAUUUAGUGCCACAUAGGGCAAGCGUUUCACCUGUACCCCUCUGGUACUCUGCAGAAAGAAAAAAAAAAAAGAAAAAAAAGUCACUGUUUGUAAGGAUGAAGCUCCA